CGCGAGCCGGCGGGCACGCGCGGCCGCAUCGUGCUCACGGCGCGUAGAUGUGCGGGCGUCAGGGCGCGUUCGAUCCGAGCGUUCGAGG
rnacentral:tRNA from 1 species